rnacentral:rRNA from 1 species
UACGGGAGGCAGCAGGGGGGAAUAUUGCACAAUGGGCGCAAGCCUGAUGCAGCCAUGCCGCGUGUAUGAAGAAGGCCUUCGGGUUGUAAAGUACUUUCAGUCGUGAGGAAGGUGUUAAGGUUAAUAACCUUAGCAAUUGACGUUAGCGACAGAAGAAGCACCGGCUAACUCCGUGCCAGCAGCCGCGGUAAUACGGAGGGUGCGAGCGUUAAUCGGAAUUACUGGGCGUAAAGGGCACGCAGGCGGUUAAUUAAGUUGGAUGUGAAAUCCCCGGGCUUAACCUGGGAAUGGCAUUCAAGACUGGUUAGCUAGAGUCUUGUAGAGGGGGGUAGAAUUCCAUGUGUAGCGGUGAAAUGCGUAGAGAUGUGGAGGAAUACCGGUGGCGAAGGCGGCCCCUGGACAAAGACUGACGCUCAUGUGCGAAAGCGUGGGGAGCAAACAGGGAUUAGAUACC